CGACGAAACCUGGGUUUGAAACAGGUAUCUUUAGAUCUUUAGUCUAAUGCUUUCCCAACAAAGCAUACUAUUC